rnacentral:rRNA from 1 species
AUUUUCCGGUUGAUCCUGCCGGACCCGACUGCUAUCAGAGUGAGAUUAAGCCAUGCGAGUCAACGUAGCAAUACGUGGCACACGGCUCAGUAACACGUAGUCAACAUAACCCAAGGACGUGGAUAAACUCGGGAAACUGAGGCUAAACCGCGAUAGACCAAGAUUCCUGGAAUGGUUUUUGAUUAAAAUCUAUAUGGCCUUUGGAUUGGACUGCGACCGAUCAGGCUGUUGGUGAGGUAAUGGCCCACCAAACCUGUAACCGGUACGGGCUCUGAGAGGAGGAGCCCGGAGAUGGGUACUGAGACAAGGACCCAGGCCCUAUGGGGCGCAGCAGGCGCGAAACCUCUGCAAUAGGCGAAAGCCUGACAGGGUUAUUCUGAGUGACUUUCGCUAAGAAAGUCUUUUGACACCUCUAAAAAUGGUGUAGAAUAAGGGGUGGGCAAGUCUGGUGUCAGCCGCCGCGGUAAUACCAGCACCCCGAGUGGUCGGGACGAUUAUUGGGCCUAAAGCAUCCGUAGCCGGUUUUACAAGUCCUCCGUUAAAUCCAACUGCUUAACAGAUGGGCCGCGGAGGAUACUAUAAGACUAGGAGGCAGGAGAGGCAAGCGGUACUCAGUGGGUAGGGGUAAAAUCCGUUGAUCCAUUGAAGACCACCAGUGGCGAAGGCGGCUUGCCAGAAUGCGCUCGACGGUGAGGGAUGAAAGCUGGGGGAGCAAACCGGAUUAGAUACCCGGGUAGUCCCAGCUGUAAGCGAUGCAGACUCGGUGAUGGACUAGCUUCAUGCUAGUCCAGUGCCGCAGGGAAGCCGUUAAGUCUGCCGCCUGGGUAGUACGGUCGCAAGACUGAAACUUAAAGGAAUUGGCGGGAAUC